rnacentral:sRNA from 1 species
UGUCUCGAUCUGCUGUGGGCAAAUAUAAUGGAUAUGUGUAUCAAGACCACCAGCUGUUACAAUAAGACCUUCACCAGCAAGAGCUUCUGUUGAAGAACCAACCGUCAUGCCUUCUGUAACGCCAUCCAUUGUACCCGGGUUACCAGCUUUACCAAUACCAACGAUGAUACCAUCUUUGAUACCGAUAUCUGCUUUAUAGAUUCCUGUGUAGUCAAGGAUCAAAGCAUUAGUAAUAACCAAGUCAAGAUCUCCGUCUACGCUUCUAGUUACUACUGACUGUCCCAUACCAUCACG